rnacentral:rRNA from 1 species
AGUGAACGCUGGCGGUAGGCCUAACACAUGCAAGUCGAACGGCAGCACAGUAAGAGCUUGCUCUUACGGGUGGCGAGUGGCGGACGGGUGAGGAAUACAUCGGAAUCUACUUUUUCGUGGGGGAUAACGUAGGGAAACUUAAGCUAAUACCGCAUACGACCUACGGGUGAAAGCAGGGGAUCUUCGGACCUUGCGCGAUUGAAUGAGCCGAUGUCGGAUUAGCUAGUUGGCGGGGUAAAGGCCCACCAAGGCGCCGAUCCGUAGCUGGUCUGAGAGGAUGAUCAGCCACACUGGAACUGAGACACGGUCCAGACUCCUACGGGAGGCAGCAGUGGGGAAUAUUGGACAAGGGGCGCAAGCCUGAUCCAGCCAUACCGCGUGGGUGAAGAAGGCCUUCGGGUUGUAAAGCCCUUUUGUUGGGAAAGAAAAGCAGCAGGUUAAGACCCCGCUGUUCUGACGGUACCCAAAGAAUAAGCACCGGCUAACUUCGG